rnacentral:tRNA from 1 species
GAGGGAUAAACAUUAAUGGUAAUGUGCAUGACUUUGAAUCAUGAAAAGAAGGUUCGAUUCCUUCAUCCCCUG